CGUGCGUGCGCGCGCAGCUUGGGAAAAGCUAGUCUGAGAAGCAGAGCCUCUGCGUGUGGGCCCAAGGGGAAGAAUGGAAUGGGGAAGGGUUAUGAGUCCCCGGGGCUGAGAAAAUUGGAAUCCACAAACAAACAAACAAUCAGACCCUGGACAGAGGAGACCCACAACCUCAGACCUGGCUCUGUCUGCCCCAGGCAUUAUGCUAUCUUGUAUUUCAAAGAUGAAGACUCAAACCAGAGAAGUUAUGACCUGCUCAGGAUUAGAUGACCUUCUCUGACUUAUUUCUUUUCCCCACAUCAAUGCUGUCAGCUGGAUUUUGGCUAAUCUUGUCGGGAUCAGUGGAACUUGGCUCCAGCCAUGAGUUGAGUUCACAUCUCUCAUUCCUUCGUGACUAGUGGGCUGCCCAAGACAUCAUCUUCACAAGGUGGUAGCAGAAGCCCAAGAGAGCAGACCCAGCACUGAAAUGGCAUCGCUAUGUCCAGAGCACAGUGGAUCCCAUUGGUGAUUGUUUUUCGAGGAAACUGAGCAGAUGGAGGGGGAAGGCCAUUGAUAUCUGCAUGACGGACUUGGAAAGGGUCCAGAAAAAGCCAGAGAAUCCCGUGGUGAAGAUUUUCACUUCCGGCGCCCCUCACCUUUGGAUGGGUGAUGCUCCUAGCCUUCAUGUACCAGUCACCAUAUUUACUGCAGAAAUUCUCAGUCUCAUCCAUCACUAUGUGUUUGAUCUUUGAGAACUCCCCUUGCAUGAAGGUUUUCCGGGUCACAGCUUGGCAGGUGGUUUGCUGGCUGUAAGGAUGAAGGAGAAAAUAGGGCUUCAGCCAUAUAAACAAAGGAAAUACCAUGCAUUUAUUAUUCUCUGGAUUAGCAUUAGAGACUGGUUCUCAUCUGGAGACUGAUUCACUGAUUCAAUAACUACAAAAAUGCUCUACUUACAAGUUACCUGAUAGACAGAAUACAUAAUUGCAAACCCUACUCUUUGGGGUUAUUAAGUUGAAUCUGCAUGCGAUACUUUUGAAAUGAACCCAGGUAGGAGAUUUUAUUAUUUCUACCAUAGUCCAUUUCUGCUGCUUGACAAUCCCUGAAGGUAAAUUCCUUACAUCUAAAGGAAAUAUCAAAAGGAAUUUACACUUGUUACUACUAUUUCUUUACUUUCUGUCUUUUUUAGAGCUGGAGAACAGUCACCUAGAGGCAUAUCAUAAUUUUCGUAUGCAAAAGAGGUAUGGGCUCAUACAAGUUCCUCUAAAGAAAAUCCUAUUUCCCCACUUACUUGUAGUACAAAAGCAGAAGCCUCUUUAGAUUUUGGUAAGGAAAACAUUAAGAGGUUGCUGAGUUCCAUGACAUGUCAAGUAGGGUACCAAGUCUGCAGGGUCUUUGCCUCUAUGGAGCUACCAAUCCUACUUACUUAGCUCAAUUUUCCUUUAUAGUAUGUUUUAGCAUACGUGUGUGUGUGUGUGUGUGUGUAUACUUUUUUUUUUAAAAACAAACUUGGUUGUUUCUUGCCACCUCUAAUUUGGAAUCAAGUCAUAUCACCCAUCCCUGCAGAUGUGGGACUGCAUGUGCAGUCCCUGGGGCUUUACUCCCUAUGUCCUGAAUCAUAACUAUUCACGUUCCUCUCUUCCAGGUUGGACUCUGUAGACUUCUUGAAGAAAAGCAUUGAUUCUUAGUCAUCUCCGUAACCCACUCACAUUAAGUUCAUAGAUGUUUGUUGAAUUGAAUUUGUCUUUUGACUGGAGAUAUUUAAAAACUUAUACCUGGGGCUUCCCUGGUGGCGCAGUGGUUGAGAGUCCGCCUGCCGAUGCAGGGGACACGGGUUCAUGCCCCGGUCUGGGAAGAUCCCACAUACUGCGGAGCGGCUGGGCCUGUGAGCCAUGGCCACUGAGCCUGCGUGUCCAGAGCCUGUGCUCCGCAAAGGGA